rnacentral:rRNA from 1 species
ACGGGUGAGUAACACGUGAGUAACCUGCCCUUGACUCUGGGAUAAGCCUGGGUAACUGGGUCUAAUACCGGAUACGACCAUCUGGCGCAUGUCAUGGUGGUGGAAAGCUUUUGUGGUUUUGGAUGGACUCGCGGCCUAUCAGCUUGUUGGUGGGGUAAUGGCCUACCAAGGCGACGACGGGUAGCCGGCCUGAGAGGGUGACCGGCCACACUGGGACUGAGACACGGCCCAGACUCCUACGGGAGGCAGCAGUGGGGAAUAUUGCACAAUGGGCGCAAGCCUGAUGCAGCGACGCCGCGUGAGGGAUGACGGCCUUCGGGUUGUAAACCUCUUUCAGUAGGGAAGAAGCGAAAGUGACGGUACCUGCAGAAGAAGCGCCGGCUAACUACGUGCCAGCAGCCGCGGUAAUACGUAGGGCGCAAGCGUUAUCCGGAAUUAUUGGGCGUAAAGAGCUCGUAGGCGGUUUGUCGCGUCUGCUGUGAAAGACCGGGGCUCAACUCCGGUUCUGCAGUGGGUACGGGCAGACUAGAGUGCAGUAGGGGAGACUGGAAUUCCUGGUGUAGCGGUGAAAUGCGCAGA